AAUGCAUAUAUUAUAUCAUAUUGUAUUGUAUUAUACUCCGUUAUAUAUUAUAGAAAUAAAUGUAAAAUGAUUCAGAAUCACAAAAAUCAUUCGAUGAACCUAUGCAUCCGACAGCCAUAGAUAAGAAUAAAUCCCUUGAGAAUCCUCCCUUGGAUCACUUCUGACCUGCGGCCGCCUGUCGCCCGUCCUUGACCGACCAUCCGACCGCAUCACCAUUUGACCCACACCGGUGACGGGACCCAUCCAAACCCAACUUGCGCU
rnacentral:lncRNA from 1 species